AUGGUGACUCACACCUUUAACCCCAGCACUUUGGGAGGCCAAGGCAGGCAGAUCCUUGAGUUCAGGAGUUUCAGACCAGUCUGGGCAGCAUGGCGAGACUGUCUCUUUAAAAACUGCAGAAAAACUAGCUGGGCGUGGUGGCGCACACCUGUAGUCUCACCUACUUGGGAGGCUGAGUGCAUGUGGAAACAGCAGAAAGCCUCCCAACACUCAUUUUGUGCAGUGAGUCUCCUAUCCUGACCACAGCGAAUUGGACCAGGUGAGGGUACCUGAGCUAACCUGGGCUAGGGUCCCUUUCCCAGGAACUUUGAAUUAACACUAAGGGAUCCUCGCUUAUGUUCUGGCUGCUCUAUUAAAUGGAGACAAUGCAAAAAUGGGAGCUUGACCUGCCAUUUUGCCCGACCUAGCCUGCCCCUCAGAGAAAGUGAGAGGAGAAUGACUGAAGCCCAAUCACAGCAAGGGACAGAGACAAAAAGACCUGAGUGCUUUUCCAUCCUACGCUAGUCUCUGCUUGCUGAGGCUAAGUGCAUCCCUGCCCAGAAUCCUAAUAGCAAUUAUCCCCCUGUGCCUAUGCCAGCUCCAGUAAGUCCCUGGUAAAGCUCCUGCUGCUCCAUCUCAGGAGAAUCCCGGAUCCUGAUCAGUGCCUCAAUAUUGCAGAACAGAGGGAGUGAGGGAAAUAUUUAAUUUCCAACUCUGAAGGUCUACCAUGGAGAAGAGAGGAGCAGAAGGAAGAACUUAAUACUGGUGGAGCACUUGGUAAAAUGAAAAUAAAUAUUCUUUUUCUUUUUUUGAGAUGGAGUUUCACUCUUGUCUCCCAGGCUCGAGUGCAAUGGCGCAAUCUCGGCUCACUGCAACCUCCGCCUCCCGGGUUCAAGUGAUUCUCCUGCCUCAGUCUCCUGAGUAGCUGGGAUUACAGGCGCCCACCAUCACACUCGGCUAAUUUUUGUAUUUUUAGAAGAGAUGGGGUUUCACCACGUUGGCCAGGCUGCUCUUGAACUCCUAACCUCAGGUGAUUCACCCACCUCAGCCUCCCAAAGCGCUGGGAUUACAGAAAUGAGCCACUGCACCU
rnacentral:lncRNA from 1 species